UGUACCGUUCAGUUUUAAGGAAAGAUGACUGUCCAUGGACCAGACUUCCAAGAAGUAGAGCCUGGUGGCUCUGGUGUAGCAGAUGUAGGCUCUGCUCAGAGAGCCUGACCCCCAAUAUCUCCAUGAACUUGUCUGUUUAAUUGUCUGAUGCUAGGGAGAUGCUGAGUAUAAUGACGGACAAGAAUACAACAGAAUGUCUGAAUGAACCUACAGUUCUUAGCCCUUGAACUUAUGGAGCAAUUCCAUCAGCCACCAUUCCCUUUUCCUGGACCCAGGCUGAAGAAGCAGCUCUUUCCUGGACGUUGUGAGUCUCAUGGGAGAGGAGAUGAGGGAUGGAAGAAUCACCUAUCCAUUAAAGCAUCCAUUAAUGGUCAUUAAAGCUUCUGCACAGAAGUAGCACAUGCCACUUCUACUCACAUUUCAUUGGCCAAAGUGAGUCAGAUGGACAGACAUGAACACAAUAGGGUGGGAAGAGUAUAAUCUUCCCAUAGGGAUAGUCUCUGUUGGGUGGGCCCAUUUAGGCGCUCCUUGUAAGAGGAGCAGCUGAU